rnacentral:tRNA from 1 species
GCGGGAGUGGCGUAGUGGUAGCGCAAAAGCCUUCCAAGCUUUUGGCGAGGGUUCGAUUCCCUCCUCCCGUACCA